AAGGUAGUCCAGCAGCUAACUGUUCAGCUUUGUGAGAUACGCGAUGAAGUGCUAGCCAUGGGUACCGAGCUGACGAAACGACGCUUGGAUAUAUUGAAAUUUGUACGAGCUAUACAACGCAACGAGAACAGGGUGUUUGUUUACGAAGGUCAUAAUAUAGUGUGGCAAACUAAGAACACCGAAUUGGAUGAAGAAACAAAAAAGCUACGAGAACUCGUUUUAAAAACGGUUAAAAAUAUAGAAUCUAAACUAAUUCAGAGCGUAGACGUUGCCAAAAUGCCAUGGACGGAGAGGGACAAUCUGUUAAAAAAAAUAGGAUCUUUACAAAAAGAGCUUUCUAUACUCAGGAAAAGUAAACAAA